UGGGGAAUAUUGCACAAUGGGCGCAAGCCUGAUGCAGCCAUGCCGCGUGUAUGAAGAAGGCCUUCGGGUUGUAAAGUACUUUCAGCGGGGAGGAAGGCGAUAAGGUUAAUAACCUUGUCGAUUGACGUUACCCGCAGAAGAAGCACCGGCUAACUCCGUGCCAGCAGCCGCGGUAAUACGGAGGGUGCAAGCGUUAAUCGGAAUUACUGGGCGUAAAGCGCACGCAGGCGGUCUGUCAAGUCGGAUGUGAAAUCCCCGGGCUCAACCUGGGAACUGCAUUCGAAACUGGCAGGCUAGCGUCUUGUAGAGGGGGGUAGAAUUCCAGGUGUAGCGGUGAAAUGCGUAGAGAUCUGGAGGAAUACCGGUGGCGAAGGCGGCCCCCUGGACAAAGACUGACGCUCAGGUGCGAAAGCGUGGGGAGCAAACA
rnacentral:rRNA from 1 species